CCCUUAGAUGGUCUGGGCCGCACGCGCGCUACACUGAUGCAUUCAACAAGCCUAGCCUUGACCGAGAGGUCCGGGUAAUCUUUGAAACUGCAUCGUGAUGGGGCUAGAUUAUUGCAAUUAUUAAUCUUCAACGAGGAAUGCCUAGUAAGCGUGAUUCAUCAAAUCGCGUUGAUUACGUCCCUGCCCUUUGUACACACCGCCCGUCGCUCCUACCGAUUGAAUGUGUUGGUGAGGAGCUCGGAUUGGCAGCAGUUGGUGGUUCGCCACCGGCUAUUGCUGAGAAGUCCUCCAAACCGCCCCAUUUAGAGGAAGGAGAAGUCGUAACA
rnacentral:rRNA from 1 species